GGGCGCUUAGCUCAGCUGGUUUAGAGCAUCUGCCUUACAAGCAGAGGGUCGGCGGUUCGAAUCCGUCAGCGCCCAC
rnacentral:tRNA from 1 species